rnacentral:rRNA from 1 species
UACGGGGGGGGCAAGCGUUGUUCGGAAUUACUGGGCGUAAAGGGCUCGUAGGCGGCCCUCUCAGUCGGAUGUGAAAUCCCCAGGCUCAACUUGGGAACGGCAUCCGAUACUGGAGGGCUUGAAUUCGGGAGAGGGAUGCAGAAUUCCAGGUGUAGCGGUGAAAUGCGUAGAUAUCUGGAGGAAUACCGGUGGCGAAGGCGGCAUCCUGGACCGAGAUUGACGCUGAGGAGCGAAAGCUAGGGGAGCAAACGGGG